rnacentral:rRNA from 1 species
GGGUCAGUAGGUUGGUCGUGCCACCGGUACGUACUGGUCUCACUGAUUCCUCCUUCCUGAAGAACCGUAAUGCCAUUAAUUUGGUGUUGCGGGGGAACAGGACUGUUACUUUGAAAAAAUUAGAGUGUUUAAAGCAAGCUAACGCUUGAAUACAUUGGCAUGGAAUAAUGAAAUAGGACGAUCGAUCCUAUUUUGUUGGUUUCUAGGAUUGACGUA